GAUAGGCUGCGUAGUUUGUAUUUCCGCAGAUCUUCCGAGCCAACAUUAUUUUAUAGGGAAUUGUCACUGCUUGGACCGUGGUCUUAAGUAUACGAUGCCCACCUGGUUAGAAGCGGUUCGAUAAGAAUGUAAAAUAUACGGCUAAACGGCCAUCC
rnacentral:other from 3 species